rnacentral:rRNA from 1 species
UACGUAGGGGGCGAGCGUUAUCCGGAUUUACUGGGUGUAAAGGGAGCGCAGACGGGAAGCCAAGUCAGAUGUGGAAGCCCCGGGCAUAACCCGGGGAGUGCAUUUGAAACUGGAGACCUGGAGUACUGGAGGGGUGGGCGGAAUUCCUGGUGUAGCGGUGAAAUGCGUAGAUAUCAGGAAGAACACCGGCGGCGAAGGCGGCCCACUGGACAGAAACUGACGUUGAGGCUCGAAAGCGUGGGGAGCAAAC